AUACGGAGGGUGCAAGCGUUGUUCGGAAUUACUGGGCGUAAAGCGCGCGUAGGUGGUCUGUUAUGUCAGAUGUGAAAGUCCACGGCUCAACCGUGGAAGUGCAUUUGAAACUGGCAGACUUGAGUACUGGAGGGGGUGGUGGAAUUCCCGGUGUAGAGGUGAAAUUCGUAGAUAUCGGGAGGAAUACCGGUGGCGAAGGCGACUACCUGGCCAGAUACUGACACUGAGGUGCGAAAGCGUGGGGAGCGAACAGGAUUAGAUACCCUAGUAGUCC
rnacentral:rRNA from 1 species